rnacentral:rRNA from 1 species
AUUGAACGCUGGCGGCAGGCCUAACACAUGCAAGUCGAACGCGUGGCGGACGGGAGAGUUAUGUCUGGGACACCGCCUGAUGGAGGGGGAUAACUACUGGAAACGGUAUCUAAUACCGCAUACUAUCGGAUGUGCCCAGAUGGGAUUCGCUAGUAGGUGGGGUAACGGCUCACCUAGGCGACGAUCCCUAGCUGGUCUGAGAGGAUGACCAGCCACACUGGAACUGAGACACGGUCCAGACUCCUACGGGAGGCAGCAGUGGGGAAUAUUGCACAAUGGGCGCAAGCCUGAUGCAGCCAUGCCGCGUGUAUGAAGAAGGCCUUCGGGUUGUAAAGUACUUUCAGCGGGGAGGCGUUACCCGCAGAAGAAGCACCGGCUAACUCCGUGCCAGCAGCCGCGGUAAUUC